rnacentral:rRNA from 1 species
UCGAGGAUCUUCGGCAAUGGGCGCAAGCCUGACCGAGCGACGCCGCGUGUGCGACGAAGGCCUUCGGGUUGUAAAGCACUGUCGAGGGGGAGGAAAGCCGCAAGGUCUGACCUAUCCCUGGAGGAAGCACGGGCUAAGUUCGUGCCAGCAGCCGCGGUAAGACGAACCGUGCGAACGUUGUUCGGAAUCACUGGGCUUAAAGGGCGCGUAGGCGGGUCUCCAAGUCCGGGGUGAAAUCUUUCGGCCCAACCGGAAAAGUGCCUCGGAUACUGGGGGCCUCGAGGGAGGUAGGGGCGGAUGGAACUUCCGGUGGAGCGGUGAAAUGCGUUGAUAUCGGAAGGAACGCCGGUGGCGAAAGCGAUCCGCUGGACCUCUUCUGACGCUGAGGCGCGAAAGCCAGGGGAGCAAACGGGAUUAGAUACCCCUGUAGUCC